UCCGUAGGUGAACCUGCGGAGGGAUCAUUACAGAGUAGCCAUAGGCUCUCCAACCCACUGUGAACAUACCCAUCGUUCCCUCGGCGGGCUCAGCGCGCGGCUGCCCUCGGGCUCCGCGCGUCCGCCGGGGACAAGCAAACUCGUUUUUUAUGGUGAAUCUCUGAGGGGCGAGAGCCCGCAAGCAAAAUAAAUCAAAACUUUCAACAACGGAUCUCUUGGCUCUGGCAUCGAUGAAGAACGCAGCGAAAUGCGAUAAGUAAUGUGAAUUGCAGAAUUCAGUGAAUCAUCGAAUCUUUGAACGCACAUUGCGCCCGCCGGCACUCCGGCGGGCAUGCCUGUCCGAGCGUCAUUUCAACCCUCAGGGACCCCCUUCGGGGGGUAACUGGUGCUGGGGAUCAGAGCGCCGUCCGCGGCACCCUGUCCCCCAAAUCGAGUGGCGGUCGCGCCGCAGCCUCCCCUGCGUAGUAGCACAACCUCGCACCGGAGAGCGGCUCGGCCACGCCGUGAAACCCCCAACUCUUUCAAGGUUGACCUCGGAUCAGGUAGGAAUACCCGCUGAACUUAAGCAUAUCAAUAAGCGGAGGA
rnacentral:rRNA from 1 species